UGUAAGUCCAACAUUGCUGGUGCUAGAGUUGCCACUGCUUGCUUAUAAGGGAAUCAUGUGUGUUGCCUUUUUGCCUUUUCCUCCGUCCUCCUUCGACUGUACUCCCAGGACUGAACUUACGGGAAGGAGUGCUUCCAAGAUGGGAGACGAAGAAGAAGAAGCCGCUGAAUCCGGCGGCAAUGGCUGGGAUGCUGCGUUCUCGAGAAGAAGCGUUAUUUCUGCAUUCCAAGAAGGACGGCACAAUGUGUCGGACUGUCCGCGUCGCAUUGAUCUGGUCCGAUGAGGCUGCUAUUGCACACACAGUGAGGGAACUCCCAUACGGUAACUCGGAAGUACUGCUACAGUACAGGUAAGGUGGCCGUUGCUUAUG